rnacentral:lncRNA from 1 species
GUUACGCAGGCGACGGCGGCGGUGACGGACUCACUUACCAUCAUGUUGCCUUGCAUUUUAGCCGUCUUGAUCAUCGCCUUUUCCUUCAUGUUUGCCUUGCCUGGCGCUGCGUUGCGAGGCGGCGAGGAUCGGAAGGCGCGUGCCUGCCCGCUCUGCUUACAAUACGGCACUUAAUAAUCCAUCGGCUCGGUCACUUUAGCCAGGAAGCUGUCUUUUUACACUUGCGAGGAGAUGUUUAUUCGUGGGGAGGGGGAAAGGAACGGGGGGGGGAGGAGCGGGAGGGAGAGAGAGAAAGAGAGAGUUCCGAAGGCUUUCCCGCUCUCUUCGUUUGGGUAAGCCCGAUGAUGCCCUUUCCAAAACCAUCCACGGGACGGAGGUGGUGAUUCUGCUCCUGAUCUACACCCCCAAUGCCCCUUCCCGCAGUGUUUUUAAAAUACUCUGAAGGCUGAGGAGAAAGGGGGUGGCGGAGAAGGUGGCAUGAAGAGUCUUGCCCUCCUUUUUAAAUCAUGCGGUGCCAGAAGUCUCUAGGUAAAUAGGCGAGAGGGAGCUCUGAACACGCACACGCGCCGCGCGCCUCGCAAGACGCACAGCGCUCUCCGGAGUGUAUCGGGCNGCUGGCUCCCCUUUCAAGCCCCCUUACGAAGCCACGCACGGAGGAGCGCCGCUGGAAAAAGGAAACAUCCAAACCCAAGGUUAAGCAGAUUUGGGUGGAGGAACAGAAAAUGGGGUACCAAGCAUGUGUCGAGAGGGGGCGGUCCUUGACCGAAGGCAUUUACUUUUAUUUAUUGUGUUUGUUUAUUUUUGAACGCACAGGCAGGAGAAAGAGAAACCAAGCGCCUUCGGAAGGGACCGAAUAUGGCCAUGCCUGGGCUGGCGCAAGCCGGGCGGCAGGGAUUUGAGCUCAAUAACGUUGUUGUUACAGGUACCUCAGGCAAAUGGAAGGACACGCGACUGAACAGCUCCCCUGCGCCGUGUAUACAGAAGCAUACACAAAGGAUUCGCCCUUUGGAAAGAAAUAUUUGGGUUUUCUGCUGUUCAGCAGGUUCGAAGAAUGCAGUUGAGCCCGGCAGGGAAGGAGACAAUCAAACGCUUGAGUUCUAAAAGAGGAAUUGCAGGGAGCCCAGUUUGAGAGCUGAUAAGAUUUUCUUUGCCGGCUUUUACGUUCCAAACUCUGCUAACAGUGUGGGACAGAAAUUUAGGAUGCAAAGACUAACUAACUUAAAAAACUAAUUUAAAAGACAAACUGCUGCUUUUAUCUGUUCUGAUCUGUUGUAACCCGCCCUGAGAUCUUUGGCAAUAGGGUGGGAUAUAAAUGUAAAUAAAUAAAUAAAGAAGUGUAGGCA